GACAGAGGGUGCAAACGUUGUUCGGAAUUACUGGGCGUAAAGGGCGCGUAGGUGGCGACCCAAGUCGAUGGUGAAAGCUCGCCGCUCAACGGCGAGUCGGCCACCGAUACUGGGUUGCUGGAGCACUGUAGAGGCAGAUGGAAUUCCGGGUGUAGCGGUGGAAUGCGUAGAGAUCCGGAAGAACACCGGUGGCGAAGGCGGUCUGCUGGGCAGUUGCUGACACUGAGGCGCGACAGCGUGGGGAGCAAACAGG
rnacentral:rRNA from 1 species